rnacentral:rRNA from 1 species
GUGUCAGCCGCCGCGGUAAGACGAACCGUGCGAACGUUGUUCGGAAUCACUGGGCUUAAAGGGCGCGUAGGCGGGCUGUCAAGUCCGGGGUGAAAUCUUUCGGCUCAACCGGAAAAGUGCCUUGGAUACUGAUGGUCUGGAGGGAGGUAGGGGUAUGUGGAACUUCCGGUGGAGCGGUGAAAUGCGUUGAUAUCGGAAGGAACGCCGGUGGCGAAAGCGACGUACUGGACCUCUUCUGACGCUGAGGCGCGAAAGCUAGGGGAGCGAACGGGAUUAGAAACCCCCGUAGUCC